GUGUGCAGGGGCAGGUGUGUGGUGUGGGUGUGUGCGCAUGUGUUGCACACUGCCCUGCAGGCC
rnacentral:miRNA from 1 species